UACGUAGGGUGCGAGCGUUGUCCGGAAUUACUGGGCGUAAAGAGCUCGUAGGUGGUUUGUCGCGUUGUCCGUGAAAACUCACAACUCAAUUGUGGGCGUGCGGGCGAUACGGGCAGACUGGAGUACUGCAGGGGAGACUGGAAUUCCUGGUGUAGCGGUGGAAUGCGCAGAUAUCAGGAGGAACACCAGUGGCGAAGGCGCCGCUCUGGGCCGACACUGACGCUGAGGAGCGAAAGCGUGGGUAGCAAACAGG
rnacentral:rRNA from 1 species